GACGAACCGUGCGAACGUUAUUCGGAAUAACUGGGCUUAAAGGGAGCGUAGGCGGGCUAUCAAGUCUGGGGUGAAAUCCCACGGCUCAACCGUGGAACUGCCUUAGAUACUGACGGCCUCGAGGGAGAUAGGGGCAUGCGGAACUGUAGGUGGAGCGGUGAAAUGCGUUGAUAUCUACAGGAACUCCGGUGGCGAAAGCGGCGUGCUGGAUCUCUUCUGACGCUGAGGCUCGAAAGCUAGGGGAGCAAACGGG
rnacentral:rRNA from 1 species